rnacentral:rRNA from 1 species
AUUGAACGCUGGCGGAAUGCUUUACACAUGCAAGUCGAACGGCAGCACGGACUUCGGUCUGGUGGCGAGUGGCGAACGGGUGAGUAAUGUAUCGGAACGUGCCCAGUCGUGGGGAUAACGUAGUGAAAAUUACGCUAAUACCGCAUACGAUCUAUGGAUGAAAGCGGGGGAUCGGAAGACCUCGCGCGAUUGGAGCGGCCGAUAUCAGAUUAGGUAGGUGGUGGGGUAAAGGCCCACCAAGCCAACGAUCUGUAGCUGGUCUGAGAGGACGACCGGCCACACUGGAACUGAGACACAGUCCAGACUCCUACGGGAGGCAGCAGUGGGGAAUUUUGGACAAUGGGCGAAAGCCUGAUCCAGCCAUUCCGCGCGCAGGAUGAAGGCCCUCGGGUUGUAAACUGCUUUUGUACAGAACGAAAAGGUUUCUACUAAUACUAGGAGCUCAUGACGGUACUGUAAGAAUAAGCACCGGCUAACUACGUGCCAGCCGCCGCCGUAA